CAAAAUGCUACUUUGAACACACCUCAUCUUGACUGAUUUCAGAAUUAAGCCGAGUCAGGCCUGGUAAGUAUCUUGGGGACCUCUUAAUAACAGGGGUAAUAUUGA
rnacentral:rRNA from 1 species